GAAUUGACGGGGGCCCGCACAAGCGGUGGAGCAUGUGGUUUAAUUCGAUGCAACGCGAAGAACCUUACCUGGUCUUGACAUCCACGGAAGUUUUCAGAGAUGAGAAUGUGCCUUCGGGAACCGUGAGACAGGUGCUGCAUGGCUGUCGUCAGCUCGUGUUGUGAAAUGUUGGGUUAAGUCCCGCAACGAGCGCAACCCUUAUCCUUUGUUGCCAGCGGUCCGGCCGGGAACUCAAAGGAGACUGCCAGUGAUAAACUGGAGGAAGGUGGGGAUGACGUCAAGUCAUCAUGGCCCUUACGACCAGGGCUACACACGUGCUACAAUGGCGCAUACAAAGAGAAGCGACCUCGCGAGAGCAAGCGGACCUCAUAAAGUGCGUCGUAGUCCGGAUUGGAGUCUGCAACUCGACUCCAUGAAGUCGGAAUCGCUAGUAAUCGUGGAUCAGAAUGCCACGGUGAAUACGUUCCCGGGCCUUGUACACACCGCCCGUCACACCAUGGGAGUGGGUUGCAAAAGAAGUAGGUAGCUUAACCUUCGGGAGGGCGCUUACCACUUUGUGAUUCAUGACUGGGGUGAAGUCGUAACAAGGUAACCGUAGGGGAACCUGCGGUUGGAU
rnacentral:rRNA from 1 species